rnacentral:lncRNA from 1 species
CCUCUCUCACUUCUAUCAAAUCGGGGUUUCCUUUUCUUCCCUCUUCAUCACCGUAACAUCAUUAUCAUAGGAGUUUCUUUUCUUCCUCCUUUGUCAUCCUAUGUAAACCCUAAAGGAAUUCACACCAGUUCUUCAAGGAUUACUGAUUCAUUCUAAUGGAAUGACGGAUCUUUCAAAUGCCGUUUUUCUAUGAGCAAUAGAGUCCCAAUCAUGGUGAAUGCAAAGAUACUGAAGAUAGCCUCAAUCAGAGGCUUGAUCUAGGGCUCGAUAGAUGAUUCUUUUUUCUUCAUUCG